GUCAAGGUGCAGAAUGGAGCACCUGGCGUACGGCUCAGUAACACGUAGUCAACCUACCCUAAGGACGAUGACAACCACGGGAAACUGUGGAUAAUCUUCGAUAGGAAAUUUGGCCUGGAACGGUAUCUUUCCUAAAACCGGCUCGCCGUGAGACACGGGCCUUAGGAUGGGGCUGCGGCCGAUUAUGCUUGAUGGCGGUGUAAGGGACCACCAUGGCGACGAUCGGUAUGGGCAAUGGAAGUUGGAGCCCAGAGUCGCUAACUGAGACAAGGUAGCGAGCCUUACGAGGCUUAGCGGUCGCGAAAACUCGCCAAUGCACGAAAGUGUGAGUGGGCUACUCCAAGUGUCAUUCUUACGGAUGACUGUCGCCCAGUAUUACAAGCUGGGAAAGGAAGGAGAGGGCAAGGCUGGUGCCAGCCGCCGCGGUAAAACCAGCUCUUCGAGUGGUCAGGACGAAUAUUGGGUCUAAAGCGCUCGUAGCCGGACAUGUAGGUUCUUGGUUAAAUCCGACAGCAUAACUGUCGACCUGCUGGGAAUACCGCAAGUCUUGGGAGCGGGAGAGGAUAGAGGUAGUCGUAGGGCAGGGGUGAAAUCCAGUGAUCCUACGGCGACCACCGAUGGCGAAGGCAUCUAUCUGGAACGUCUCCGACGGUGUGGGGCGAAAGCUAGGGGAGCGACCUGGAUUAGAUACCCGGUUAGUCCUAGCCGUAAACGAUGCCGACUAGGUGUUGCGACGGCCAAGAGCCGUUGCGGUGCCACAGCGAAGGCGUUAAGUCGGCCACCUGGGGAGUACGGUCGCAAGACUGAAACUAAAGGAAUGACGGGGCGCACCACCAGAGGAGC
rnacentral:rRNA from 1 species